GGGAGUAGCUCAGUGGCAGAGCAUCACCCUUCCAAGGUGAACGUCGCGGGUUCGAAUCCCGUCUCCC
rnacentral:tRNA from 1 species